rnacentral:rRNA from 1 species
GACGAACGCUGGCGGCGUGCCUAAUACAUGCAAGUAGAACGCUGAAGGAGGAGCUUGCUUCUCUGGAUGAGUUGCGAACGGGUGAGUAACGCGUAGGUAACCUGCCUGGUAGCGGGGGAUAACUAUUGGAAACGAUAGCUAAUACCGCAUAACAGUAGAUAUCGCAUGAUAGCUGCUUGAAAGGUGCAAUUGCACCACUACCAGAUGGACCUGCGUUGUAUUAGCUAGUUGGUGAGGUAACGGCUCACCAAGGCGACGAUACAUAGCCGACCUGAGAGGGUGAUCGGCCACACUGGGACUGAGACACGGCCCAGACUCCUACGGGAGGCAGCAGUGGGGAAUCUUCGGCAAUGGACGGAAGUCUGACCGAGCAACGCCGCGUGAGUGAAGAAGGUUUUCGGAUCGUAAAGCUCUGUUGUAAGAGAAGAACGAGUGUGAGAGUGGAAAGUUCACACUGUGACGGUAUCUUACCAGAAAGGGACGGCUAACUACGUGCCAGCAGCCGCGGUAAUACGUAGGUCCCGAGCGUUGUCCGGAUUUAUUGGGCGUAAAGCGAGCGCAGGCGGUUAGAUAAGUCUGAAGUUAAAGGCUGUGGCUUAACCAUAAUACGCUUUGGAAACUGUUUAACUUGAGUGCAAGAGGGGAGAGUGGAAUUCCAUGUGUAGCGGUGAAAUGCGUAGAUAUAUGGAGGAACACCGGUGGCGAAAGCGGCUCUCUGGCUUGUAACUGACGCUGAGGCUCGAAAGCGUGGGGAGCAAACAGG